UACAGAGGGGGCAAGCGUUAUUCGGAAUUAUUGGGCGUAAAGGGCGCGUAGGCGGCCAUUCAAGUGACGGGUGAAAGCCCUCGGCUUAACCGAGGAACUGCCUGUCAGACUGGAUGGCUUGAGACCGGGAGAGGUGAGUGGAAUUCCCAGUGUAGCGGUGAAAUGCGUAGAUAUUGGGAGGAACACCAGUGGCGAAGGCGGCCACCUCGGACGGUAACGUGGACGCUGAGACGCGAAAGCGUGGGGGAAGCAAACAGGGAGUUAAGAUGAU
rnacentral:rRNA from 1 species